rnacentral:rRNA from 1 species
AUAGGGUUUGAUCCUGGCUCAGGAUGAACGCUGGCGGCGUGCCUAAUACAUGCAAGUCGAACGCGAGAAUUGCUAGCUUGCUAAUAAUUCUCUAGUGGCGCACGGGUGAGUAACACGUGAGUAACCUGCCCCCGAGAGCGGGAUAGCCCUGGGAAACUGGGAUUAAUACCGCAUAGUAUCGAAAGAUUAAAGCAGCAAUGCGCUUGGGGAUGGGCUCGCGGCCUAUUAGUUAGUUGGUGAGGUAACGGCUCACCAAGGCGAUGACGGGUAGCCGGUCUGAGAGGAUGUCCGGCCACACUGGAACUGAGACACGGUCCAGACACCUACGGGUGGCAGCAGUCGAGUAUCAUUCACAAUGGGGGAAACCCUGAUGGUGCGACGCCGCGUGGGGGAAUGAAGGUCUUCGGAUUGUAAACCCCUGUCAUGUGGGAGCAAAUUAAAAAGAUAGUACCACAAGAGGAAGAGACGGCUAACUCUGUGCCAGCAGCCGCGGUAAUACAGAGGUCUCAAGCGUUGUUCGGAAUCACUGGGCGUAAAGCGUGCGUAGGCUGUUUCGUAAGCCGUGUGUGAAAGGCGCGGGCUCAACCCGCGGACGGCACAUGAUACUGCGAGACUAGAGUAAUGGAGGGGGAACCGGAAUUCUCGGUGUAGCAGUGAAAUGCGUAGAUAUCGAGAGGAACACUCGUGGCGAAGGCGGGUUCCUGGACAUUAACUGACGCUGAGGCACGAAGGCCAGGGGAGCGAGAGGGAUUAGAUACCCCUGUAGUCCUGGCAGUAAACGGUGCACGCUUGGUGUGCGGGGAAUCGACCCCCUGCGUGCCGGAGCUAACGCGUUAAGCGUGCCGCCUGGGGAGUACGGUCGCAAGAUUAAAACUCAAAGAAAUUGACGGGGACCCGCACAAGCGGUGGAGUAUGUGGCUUAAUUCGAUGCAACGCGAAGAACCUUACCUGGGCUUGACAUGUAAUGAACAACAUGUGAAAGCAUGCGACUCUUCGGAGGCGUUACACAGGUGCUGCAUGGCCGUCGUCAGCUCGUGUCGUGAGAUGUUUGGUUAAGUCCAGCAACGAGCGCAACCCCUGUUGCCAGUUACCAGCACGUGAAGGUGGGGACUCUGGCGAGACUGCCCAGAUCAACUGGGAGGAAGGUGGGGACGACGUCAGGUCAGUAUGGCCCUUAUGCCCAGGGCUGCACACGUACUACAAUGCCCAGUACAGAGGGGGCCGAAGCCGCGAGGCGGAGGAAAUCCUAAAAACUGGGCCCAGUUCGGACUGUAGGCUGCAACCCGCCCACACGAAGCCGGAACCGCUAGUAAUGGCGCAUCAGCUACGGCGCCGCGAAUACGUUCCCGGGUCUUGUACACACCGCCCGUCACAUCAUGGAAGCCGGUCGCACCCGAAGUAUCUGAAGCCAACCGCAAGGAGGCAGGGUCCUAAGGUGAGACUGGUAACUGGGAUGAAGUCGUAACUAGGUAAC